UACGUAGGGGGCAAGCGUUGUCCGGAAUCAUUGGGCGUAAAGAGCGCGUAGGCGGCCCAGUAAGUCCGCUCUGAAAGUCAGGGGCUCAACCCCUGGAUGCGGGUGGAUACUGCUGGGCUAGAGUCCGGAAGAGGUGAGUGGAAUUCCUGGUGUAGCGGUGAAAUGCGCAGAUAUCAGGAGGAACACCAAUGGCGAAGGCAGCUCGCUGGAACGGAACUGACGCUGAGGCGCGAAAGCGUGGGGAGCGAACAGG
rnacentral:rRNA from 1 species